UAUACAAAGGUAUUGAAAUAAGAUUUUAAAUGAGUGCUAAGAGRAUGAUUGAACAAUUAUAGGCUUUCUUUAGUUAAAUAAUUAAAUUUAAUUUUUUUAGUGCAAAAGCAAAAAUUAAAUUUAGGGACAAGAAGACCCUAUGAAUUUUAAUUUAAUUUAUAAUUUGAAAUUUUAAAUUAAAUUUGAUUGGGGCGAUGGAAAAAGAAUGAGUAUCUUUUUUAGUUUWAAAAWUKGSUUCCGUUUUUAACGAUUAAAUGAGAAAAAUACUCUAGG
rnacentral:rRNA from 1 species